UGGGGAAUCUUCCGCAAUGGACGAAAGUCUGACGGAGCAACGCCGCGUGAGUGAAGACGGCCUUCGGGUUGUAAAGCUCUGUGAUCCGGGACGAAAGAGCCUGAGGUGAAUAGCCUAAGGAAGUGACGGUACCUGAAAAGCAAGCCACGGCUAACUACGUGCCAGCAGCCGCGGUAAUACGUAGGUGGCAAGCGUUGUCCGGAAUUAUUGGGCGUAAAGCGCGCGCAGGCGGCUUCCUAAGUCCAUCUUAAAAGUGCGGGGCUUAACCCCGUGAUGGGAUGGAAACUGGGAAGCUGGAGUAUCGGAGAGGAAAGUGGAAUUCCUAGUGUAGCGGUGAAAUGCGUAGAGAUUAGGAAGAACACCGGUGGCGAAGGCGACUUUCUGGACGAAAACUGACGCUGAGGCGCGAAAGCGUGGGGAGCAAACAGG
rnacentral:rRNA from 1 species